AUAGCAAAAGGUUCUAUCGUUCCGUUGCACCAUGCAACGGGGAGGAAAGUCCGGGCAGCAUAGAGCAUCAUGCUUCCUAACGGGAAGUUGUCGUAAGGCAAGGCUCUGUAACAGAAAAUAACCGUCUCGUUGCUUGCAACGAGAUAAGGGUGAAAAGGUGAGGUAAGAGCUCACCAGUUCUAUUGGCGACAAUAGAAGCUGUACAUCCCAUGAGCUGUAAGGUCGUGUAUACCGGCAACUAAGGGUUGCUCGCCCAAUGUCGGGGGGUAGACCGCUGGAACUCGCUAGCAAUAGCGAGUCAAGAUAAAUGAUAGAAGUUCAUUUUCAUUUGAAAAUGAAAACAGAACCCGGCUUAUACUUUUGCUACAUUU
rnacentral:RNase_P_RNA from 1 species